rnacentral:lncRNA from 1 species
AGAGCGCCGCUGCCCCGGCCCGGGCACGCCUGGCAUGGCCAAGGCCUUCUCCUCCUCUGCUGCAGGGGCACCAGCUGCACUUGGACACGCAGGUCAAGUGCUCUCCUGAGAAGAGUUUUGGGAACGUGGAAAACAUGAUGAGUGAGGGCGUUUGGUUCUGGUCCUGUUGUCACAGGCCUGCUGGUUGGGCGCCACACAAAAAGCACAACCCGUAAACAAAACAUCUGAUCAACUGGACUUCAUCGAAACUGUGUAUCUGCUUUGCGAGAAAGACCCUAUUAAGGGGAUGAAAAGACAAACUACAGUUGGGAGAAAAUAUGGGCAAAUCGCACGCCUGCCAAGAAUUCAGAUGUAGACUAUAUAAAGAACUCUCAAAACUCAGCCUUAGAAACAACCCAGUUAGGAAAUAGGGAACAGACACGCGCGGGCGCAUCGUCCGCGGAGAGGGAAGCACAUGAAAGGACGUCCAAGGCCGUCGGCCUUUGGAGGAACGGCAGCAGCCCCGGGGUGUUGUUUCGCAUCAUCCAAGCGGUCAAGGUGAGAAACAGGGACGAUCCCAAACGCUGCUAAAGACCCAGAGAACCCGGAUUCCGUGCACGUCGCCAGCGUGAGGAGAAAAUGAGGAGUUUGGCAUUUCCUGUUAAACCUAAAAAUCGACUUACUAUAUGAUCCAGCCACUAUACCCAUGGGCACAUAUAUUCCACAGAAAUGGAAACUUAUUUCCAUGCGGACACUUGUACACGAGAGCUGAGAGUGGUGUUACUGAUAAAGGCCACAAGCGAGAAACAACCAAACAUCCUCCAAUAAAUGGACCUGACGGCCCGACGACGCCUCCCGAACUUGAACUUCAUUAGCAACGAACGACGCCUCCCGUCAAGCUGGCGGAGGUUCGGGAUCUGGUGAGAGUCCUGGUGGCUGGGGCCGCCAUCCUCUCCCCUCCCAGCUCGGUGACCUUAAAAGGCUCUCGAUUUAGCAUCAGGCCCACACUCCGACGCUCUAAAUGCGAUGGAGAGUUUGCACACGAACACCGAAAGAUCAUCCUUUUGUGCCUGCAGCUUUCCGUCAGUGUGUCAAGUGUGAAAACAUCACUCGAUACCGAAAGGCCAGCUCCCGAUUUAGUCCAGGGAAAAAAUCUGGACAACCUUUCACGGACCUCCUCGUCCCGUUCUGUCAGUUCCUAACGGCUGCUGGGCUGGUGAACGGUGACCGGGCCGGCAGAGAGCGUGGGGGAGACGUGGGGGAACGGGUCCCCGCAGCGAGACGCCGUGAGACAGGUUUCCAAGUUCGGGCCAUUCUCAAGACAACACACCUGGCAGAGCAGGGACCAGUUAGUGCCUUUGCCUCUGGGGCAGAAGCUUUGUGGGUGAGGAGCCGAGGACUUUGGUGACGUGGGCAGUGGGACCCUCGGGCCCUCCAGGGAAAAGAGCACGGAGCCACCUGGAAGCCAACAACAGGUGGGGAAAGCGCCUGGCACACAGGAGAGGCCCAGCUGCCCGGGGUGGGGGGGAUUAAGUUGCGUCAGACACCUCGUGGCUCUGCCCAGGGAGCACCUGUGGACAGUGUGAGCAGCAGGCGGCUGGCACACUCCCUGACAGCCACGUUCCUUUCUGCCACGGGCCCCAGAGGACGCAUCCAGACGCCGUGCCUGUGCCCACGGCAGCAGCAGGCCCAGCCUCCUCACAAUCCACAGCCUAGAACUGACCCCAGUCCACCUCCAGCCUCUAUUUUUGCCCGUUUCGGGUCAAUAUGUCCUCUGUUUGAGUGGCUGACACAAGGCCAGUCUCUCUCACGGUGUCUCUAAACCCGAGCAUUUGGAGUCCUGGGCAGCAAGUCCCUCUUACCUUUCCAAGCCCAGCACCCUCCCCUCAGCACAGAGGAAGGGGAAGCUCAGAGGUGGGAACACUCGAAGGUUGGCUACUCAAUCCUUGUAUUUUUUUCCCCUUCUAAUUAGCAGAAGCUUAACAAAAUAGAAAAGCAGGCAUCACCCACAUACCUGGUGCCCGGCCUCAGGAAUUCAUGGCCAAUCCUGUUGCAUCUACAAGCCCCCAGUCCCCUCCAGCCCUCCUGCCAUCACUGGGCUAUCAGCCCUGCACCUUACAGAAGAGGGGGCAGGGUCUCACAGGGGACGAGCCACUGGCCUGAGUCCUGCAACUGGGAGCCGGAGGCGGAUCUAAGCCCCGGCCCCAGCCCCGUUACCCCCAGCUGCGGCCUGCCCGCUUCCUGCGCCUUGCUGGUGCCCUGCUCCGCCCGUGCUAUUUCUUUUCUUUUCUCCCUCCCUCUUCGUCUUCCUUCCCUCCUUCUUUCUUUCUUUCUUUCGUCUUUUUAGGGCCGCACUCACGGCAUAUGGAGGUUCCCAGGCUAGGAGUAGAAUUGGAGCUGCAGCUGCCGGCCUCCACCAUAACCACCUCCACGUCAGAUCCAGACUGCGUCUGCCACCUACACCACAGCUCACGGCAAUGCCAGAUCCUUAAUUCACCGAGCCCAGCCGGGGAUCAAACCCGUGUCCUCGUGGAUGCUGGUCAGAUUCGUUUCUGCGGAGCCACGGGGGGAGCUCCGUAUUUUUUAAUGGUCUCACCUUUCCCCUUAAGUACAUUAGUUUAGAGCGGAAACUCUUCAUCACUCCUGCAAAUGGGAAAUCAUUGCCCACCGUGGCGGGCGUCACUGAAGGUGGCCCGGAGAACCACCACCACGUCAUUCCAUCUGAGUGCGAACGACUGCCGGCCCAAGGCUCUCAACGCAAGGUCUGCUCUCUCUCUGUCGGGAGGUGGAGGGAGCGUUGGAAUCAACCAGGACUCCCUCAGGUUGGCUGCAACUAGGAUGAUGCAGAUUUUUUGGUUAAAAACUCAAAGAGCUCUCUCACAAUGUGCUUUACCUGCUACCACGACUUCACCCAUCGUCAGAGGGCUGGUUGUCUCACACACGAGCAUCUCUGUGGCACGCUGUCAGCCAGCUGGCAGGCAGGAUGUGCCUGUCAUCUGCACGUGCUCCAACGUGGUCACAGCUGGUCACACUGUCGUCACUUCACAUGAGCUGUCACCCCCCUACGUCCUGCGUGGGGUCAGUCUACCUGCCGCUUAAAUGUCUUCAAAAGGACGUGCGGCAAUGUGACAAAUCGUUACCACACACCCGGUGUCCUCAAUUCUGGAUUUUCCUGCAACAAACAAGGGUCUCACAAGACCAAAGAAAGGACGAUAGCUGCACAUCCGUGAAGCUGUGUUGUUACCAGGAGCCCUGGGAUGGGAUCGCCUGCCACACGUUAGACAGUAAGACUCGAGGCAGGAGAAGCCGCCAACCCCCUUGGAAGAGAUGGAAGAAAUUUCAGAGCAAAGGCAGGCUGCUGUGACUGAUUCAUGUGUCACACAGGACUAUCAUGAAAGUCUGCGCCAUAGUUUAAUUGGCAGCAUGUUUGUUUCUUUCCUUGGGGGUUUGUAAAAUAAUGGUGUGUCUUACAAGUGAUGGCAUCUUAGAUGAGAUAAACCCUGGUAUUUCAUC